UUCGACGCUGGCGGCGUGCCUAUACAUGCAGUCGAGCGGACUCACAGUUUCCUUCGGGAAACUGUUAGGUUAGCGGCGGACGGGUGAGUAACACGUAGGUAACCUGCCUGUAAGACUGGGAUAACUACCGGAAACGGUAGCUAAUACCGGAUACGCAAGAUCCUCGCAUGAGGGACUUGGGAAAGACGGAGCAAUCUGUCACUUAUGGAUGGGCCUGCGGCGCAUUAGCUAGUUGGUGAGGUAACGGCUCACCAAGGCGACGAUGCGUAGCCAACCUGAGAGGGUGAACGGCCACACUGGGACUGACACACGGCCCAGACUCCUACGGGAGGCAGCAGUAGGGAAUCUUCCGCAAUGGACGAAAGUCUGACAGAGCCACGCCGCGUGAGUGAUGAAGGUUUUCGGAUCGUAAAGCUCUGUUGCCAGGGAAGAACGUCCGAUAGAGUAACUGCUACCGGAGUGACGGUACCUGACAAGAAAGCCCCGGCUAACUACGUGCCAGCACCCGCGGUAAUACGUAGGGGGCAAGCGUUGUCCAGAAUUAUUGGGCGUAAAGCGCGCGCAAGCGGCUAUAUAAGUCUGGUGUUUUAUCCCGGAUCUCACUUCGGGUCGCACUGGAAACUGGGUAGCUUGAGUACAGAAGAGGAGAGUAGAAUUCCACUGUGUAGCCGCGAAAUGCGUAGAGAUGUGAAGAACACCAGUGGCAAACGCGACUCUCUGCGCUGAUACUGACUCUUGAGGCACAAAAGCGGGGGGAACAAAAGGGAUAAAAUACGG
rnacentral:rRNA from 1 species